UUAAGCGACUAAGCGUACACGGUGGAUGCCCUGGCAGUCAGAGGCGAUGAAGGACGUGCUGAUCUGCGAUAAGCGUCGGUGAGGUGAUAUGAACCGUUAUAACCGGCGAUUUUCCGAAUGGGGAAACCCAGUGUGUUUCGACACACUAUCAUUAACUGAAUCCAUAGGUUAAUGAGGCGAACCGGGGGAACUGAAACAUCUAAGUACCCCAGGAAAAGAAAUCAACCGAGAUUCCCCCAGUAGCGGCGAGCGAACGGGGAGGAGCGCAGAGCCUGAAUCAGUGUGUGUGUUAGUGGAAGCGUCUGGAAAGGCGCGCGAUACAGGGUGACAGCCCCGUACACAAAAAUGCACAUAUUGUGAGCUCGAUGAGUAGGGCGGGACACGUGGUAUCCUGUCUGAAUAUGGGGGGACCAUCCUCCAAGGCUAAAUACUCCUGACUGACCGAUAGUGAACCAGUACCGUGAGGGAAAGGCGAAAAGAACCCCGGCGAGGGGAGUGAAAAAGAACCUGAAACCGUGUACGUACAAGCAGUGGGAGCCUCUUAAUGGGGUGACUGCUACCUUUUGUAUAAUGGGUCAGCGACUUAUAUUCUGUAGCAAGGUUAACCGAAUAGGGGAGCCGAAGGGAAACCGAGUCUUAACUGGGCGUUAAGUUGCAGGGUAUAGACCCGAAACCCGGUGAUCUAGCCAUGGGCAGGUUGAAGGUUGGGUAACACUAACUGGAGGACCGAACCGACUAAUGUUGAAAAAUUAGCGGAUGACUUGUGGCUGGGGGUGAAAGGCCAAUCAAACCGGGAGAUAGCUGGUUCUCCCCGAAAGCUAUUUAGGUAGCGCCUCGUGAAUUCAUCUCCGGGGGUAGAGCACUGUUUCGGCAAGGGGGUCAUCCCGACUUACCAACCCGAUGCAAACUGCGAAUACCGGAGAAUGUUAUCACGGGAGACACACGGCGGGUGCUAACGUCCGUCGUGAAGAGGGAAACAACCCAGACCGCCAGCUAAGGUCCCAAAGUCAUGGUUAAGUGGGAAACGAUGUGGGAAGGCCCAGACAGCCAGGAUGUUGGCUUAGAAGCAGCCAUCAUUUAAAGAAAGCGUAAUAGCUCACUGGUCGAGUCGGCCUGCGCGGAAGAUGUAACGGGGCUAAACCAUGCACCGAAGCUGCGGCAGCGACACUAUGUGUUGUUGGGUAGGGGAGCGUUCUGUAAGCCUGUGAAGGUGGCCUGUGAGGGUUGCUGGAGGUAUCAGAAGUGCGAAUGCUGACAUAAGUAACGAUAAAGCGGGUGAAAAGCCCGCUCGCCGGAAGACCAAGGGUUCCUGUCCAACGUUAAUCGGGGCAGGGUGAGUCGACCCCUAAGGCGAGGCCGAAAGGCGUAGUCGAUGGGAAACAGGUUAAUAUUCCUGUACUUGGUGUUACUGCGAAGGGGGGACGGAGAAGGCUAUGUUGGCCGGGCGACGGUUGUCCCGGUUUAAGCGUGUAGGCUGGUAUUCCAGGCAAAUCCGGAAAACCAAGGCUGAGGCGUGAUGACGAGGCACUACGGUGCUGAAGUGACAAAUGCCCUGCUUCCAGGAAAAGCCUCUAAGCAUCAGGUAACAUCAAAUCGUACCCCAAACCGACACAGGUGGUCAGGUAGAGAAUACCAAGGCGCUUGAGAGAACUCGGGUGAAGGAACUAGGCAAAAUGGUGCCGUAACUUCGGGAGAAGGCACGCUGAUAUGUAGGUGAAGCGACUUGCUCGUGGAGCUGAAAUCAGUCGAAGAUACCAGCUGGCUGCAACUGUUUAUUAAAAACACAGCACUGUGCAAACACGAAAGUGGACGUAUACGGUGUGACGCCUGCCCGGUGCCGGAAGGUUAAUUGAUGGGGUUAGCGGCAACGCGAAGCUCUUGAUCGAAGCCCCGGUAAACGGCGGCCGUAACUAUAACGGUCCUAAGGUAGCGAAAUUCCUUGUCGGGUAAGUUCCGACCUGCACGAAUGGCGUAAUGAUGGCCAGGCUGUCUCCACCCGAGACUCAGUGAAAUUGAACUCGCUGUGAAGAUGCAGUGUACCCGCGGCAAGACGGAAAGACCCCGUGAACCUUUACUAUAGCUUGACACUGAACAUUGAGCCUUGAUGUGUAGGAUAGGUGGGAGGCUUUGAAGUGUGGACGCCAGUCUGCAUGGAGCCGGCCUUGAAAUACCACCCUUUAAUGUUUGAUGUUCUAACGUGGGCCCCUUACCGGGGUUGCGGACAGUGUCUGGUGGGUAGUUUGACUGGGGCGGUCUCCUCCUAAAGAGUAACGGAGGAGCACGAAGGUUGGCUAAUCCUGGUCGGACAUCAGGAGGUUAGUGCAAUGGCAUAAGCCAGCUUGACUGCGAGCGUGACGGCGCGAGCAGGUGCGAAAGCAGGUCAUAGUGAUCCGGUGGUUCUGAAUGGAAGGGCCAUCGCUCAACGGAUAAAAGGUACUCCGGGGAUAACAGGCUGAUACCGCCCAAGAGUUCAUAUCGACGGCGGUGUUUGGCACCUCGAUGUCGGCUCAUCACAUCCUGGGGCUGAAGUAGGUCCCAAGGGUAUGGCUGUUCGCCAUUUAAAGUGGUACGCGAGCUGGGUUUAGAACGUCGUGAGACAGUUCGGUCCCUAUCUGCCGUGGGCGCUGGAGAACUGAGGGGGGCUGCUCCUAGUACGAGAGGACCGGAGUGGACGCAUCACUGGUGUUCGGGUUGUCAUGCCAAUGGCACUGCCCGGUAGCUAAAUGCGGAAGAGAUAAGUGCUGAAAGCAUCUAAGCACGAAACUUGCCCCGAGAUGAGUUCUCCCUGACCCUUUAAGGGUCCUGAAGGAACGUUGAAGACGACGACGUUGAUAGGCCGGGUGUGUAAGCGCAGCGAUGCGUUGAGCUAACCGGUACUAAUGAACCGUGAGGCUUAACCUU
rnacentral:rRNA from 1 species